rnacentral:rRNA from 1 species
AACGAACGCUGGCGGCAGGCUUAACACAUGCAAGUCGAACGCACCUUUCGUGGUGAGUGGCAGACGGGUGAGUAACGCGUGGGAAUCUACCCUUCUCUACGGGAUAGCUCCUGUAAACUGGAAUUAAUACCGUUUACGUCCUGCGGGCGAAAGUUUUUUCGGGGAAGGAUGAGCCCGCGUUGGUUUAGCUAGUUGGUGGGGUAAAGGCCUACCAAGGAGACGAUCCAUAGAUGGUCUAAGAGGAUGAUCAGCCACAUUGGGACUGAGACACGGCACAAACACCGAAGGGAGGGAGAAGUGGGGAAUAUAGGAAAAGGGGGGGAAGCAUGGACAAGCCAUGCCGGGUGAGUGAUGAAGGCGCUAGGGAAGUAAAGCAGAGUAAGAGGGGAAGAUAAUGACGGUAAAAAAAGAAGAAGAAACGGCUAACUACGUG